CCCAUUCUAUGUAGAGUGUAGAAAGAACAUAUUUUUGUCUUUUGCAUUUUUCAGAUGCAAAAUGUCCUUAGUCAUUACAUUACAUUACAUUUAAGUCAUUUAGCAGACGUUCUUAUCCAGAGCCACUUAGUCCACUAAAGAAAGGGUUUCCCUCAAUUUGCUUAUUUCCUUGAAAGUCAAAUAGUUCCUCAAAUUCUAGGUUCUGCUGUUGUAGAAUAAUGCAGAAGUUUGUUUCCUAAAGUCUUAUAAAUAUAAAACCAUUCGUUCCUUAGAAUGUACAGUCUAAAAGAAAAUGUUACAUAUUGUGGAAAUACAUUGUUGACCAAGUUUGACUCUGUGACAAUGUAGUAUCUAUUUAGAUUUGUUUUUACAAACCAAUGUACUUUGAAGUUAUCAAGAUUAGUUGAAACUGAUUGCUGUAAAGAGGGUGGUUUUUGUAUUGCUUGGCAUAUGCCCUUGUCACACUGUGUAUGGAUACUUUGACUAUUGGGGGAAAGGAACAAUGGUCACAGUAUCAUCAGCAGCCACAGCCCCCCCUACUCUACUCACUCUUAUGAACUGUGGAACCCAUUCUAACGACAUCUACAGCAUCGGUUGUCUAGCUACCGGCUUUUCACCUUCCUCACUCACCUUCAAGUGGACAGACGCCAGCGGGAGUGCGCUGACGGACUUCGUCCAGUACCCGUCGGUUCAGAGUGGGGAAACCUACACAGGAGUCAGCCAGGUCCGCUUGUCUAAGAAUAACUGGGAAAACUCUAAGUCUUUCAGGUGUUCUGUGGAACAUCUUGGAAGUGAACAGACAGCAGUCAUCAAUAAACCAGUCUCAAAGCUUCCAUCAGUGUCUUUGCUGUCUGCACCCAUUGGCACCACCCAGUACCUGAUGUGUAUGAUUGAAGAUUUCACCCCCAACAAAGUCACUGUCACCUGGAAGAAGAAUGACAUGGAGGUGGAGGGCCAGACCCCUACUGUAGGCCUACAGCCAUCAGGCCUCUUUUCAGCCAGCAGUCUGCUGAAGGUCAACAACACUGACUGGAACAACAAGGUCAAGUACAGCUGUGUGGUGCAGCACCAAGGACAACCCACCAUCAAGACGAUCUCCAAAACAGAACCACUGACGGUGACUCUGAACCCACCGAGUGUGAAAGAGGUGUUCUUGGACAACCAAGCAGUACUGGACUGUGUCAUCACUGGUACAGACCAGGACACAGUGUCUGGUACCAACAUCACCUGGCAGGUCAACGGACAGGCCAAGACGAGUGGCAUCAUUCUGAAACCUAUUGAAUCAAAGGGCAACCUGAACAGCAGGGUCAGUACUCUGACGAUAGACCAGACGGAGUGGACCAAUGUGAACAAAGUCCAGUGUUCUGCCAUGAAGAGAGGUGAAGACACACCGGUCAUUCAGGACAUCAGCUUCACCAAAGGAAGUCAAGCCCCUUCAGUGUCCGUUCACCUUGUCCCAAAGGAAGACCCCAUGGCGGGGGAAGUGACUCUGCUGUGCCUGGUGGUCAUUCCGUCUCUCUGUGAUGUCUACAUCAUGUGGCAGGUGAACAGCAGCCAGUACCAGGAGGGGGUCACCAGCCCUCCUCAGAAAACCCAGAAAGGCAACUACCUUGUCACCAGCGUCUUCACCACCACCAAGAAUGUGUGGGACACAGAAGUGCUUUUCACAUGCGCUGUCAGGCACGCUGGCUUGGACAACAACACCGCAGCUAAGGUGGACAGUGUGUCGAAGUCCAAGGAGAACAUCCUACUGACUGAGCCUGAGGUGGGCUUCGCUCUGAGCUGCACGGACAACUUUGAGGAUGAGUUCAGCAGCCUGUGGUCCACCACCUCCUCCUUUAUCAUCCUCUUCCUUCUCUCUCUCACCUACAGCACAGUACUCAGCCUGGUCAAGGUACUGACACCACUUAUUUCAUGUGAUUUUAGACUUCUGAUGAAGGCCAUUGGCAGCUGAAACGUCAUGAUUUUAAAUUAAACAAUGAUGUAUCAAGUGUUUAAUUGAACAGAAGCAUUUCGCUACACCUGCAAUAACAUUUGCUAAAUAUGUGUGUGACCAAUACAAUUUUAUUUUAUUUUAUAGUUGCUCCUUUCCCUUCCAAAUAUGAUUACAUACACAGAGGAGAGAUGAGAAACUCCUUGUGGGCCAAAGGUAACCUACGUUGUUCCACUUUGCUGUCUGUUUACUGUAAUAAUCCGUAUCUGUCUCUGCCUCCUUUCAGAUGAAGCAGUGAAGAACACAUGAUGGACUGCAGAGAUAGAUGUGUCUAGAUUAGAAAUAAAAUGGUCUGAGAUGGUUAUGGCAUAUAGUAGUGUUCUUCAGUAAUAAUGUUAUGUAUAUAUCCUAUACAUUAUUGAUUUUGAUUGAUUAGUAUUGUUGUUCUCAAUAUUAUACAAGCAUUGUGGUGAUAUGUUAUUUUUCAUUUGUUCAUUUCUAUUGUACAGUAUCUUUAAAUAUAAGAGUAUCCUGUGAAGUCUGUCUUUUUUCACUUGAAUAAAGUCUAACUCUUAGCAA